GUGUUGAUAUUGGUGAAUGUGACAUGUCUUACAAUCAAAAUGAAUGUUGAUCUGAUCUCAAACGUUGUUGACUAACAAAGUGUUUAUUAAGUGACGAUAUCAACUAGCAAAUUCAACGAGAGCAUUGCUUGAUAAGAUACCGGACAUGCCACAGAUUUAUGUGGACGCAUAAAGCAAUAUUAUGCAGAGCAAUAAAAAUUAAUUAGAAAAUAUUUCACAUCUUACAGUUGGGCAUAAAAAUACUUGACGGAGUUAAGCGCACUAAAGAAUGCAAUAGAGCAGACUGUGGUUCGGUUCGGUGGUUAAUUUCUAAUUAGAAGCAUCGAGGGAGGAGGAGGAGCAGUCUGUGUAGACACUUGGCAGAAUACAAAGGAGCAUAAGUAUUUCAGAAUAAAAUAAACUGCACAUUGAACAAAAGAACGCAAGAAGUGAGAACCUUAUGCAAAGAAUAAUGAGAGCUUAAAGGGAAAACCAAAACAGAUUUUGCACACCAUAAAGGCUCGACCGGAAAAAGAAAGAGAGCGAGAGAGAGAGAGGGAGAAGGAACUCCAGGUCGAAGAGGAGACAACUACAGGCAACCAA